rnacentral:rRNA from 1 species
CCCUUAGAUGUCCGGGGCUGCACGCGCGCUACACUGAAUGAAUCAGCGUGCUAGAAAACCUUGUUUGACAUGGCUAGGUAACCCAUUGAAAAUCAUUCGUGAUUGGGAUCGGGACUUGCAAAUGUGUCCCUUGAACGAGGAAUUCCCAGUAAGUGCGGGUCAUCAGCUCGCGUUGAUUACGUCCCUGCCCUUUGUACACACCGCCCGUCGCUGCCCGGAACUGAGCCGUUUCGAGAAGGCUGAGGAUUGCUGACUUGAGGCCUUCACGGGCUUCUAGUCGGUGAAAAUCAAUUUAAUCGCAGCGGCUUGAACCGGGCAAAAGUCGUAACA